rnacentral:rRNA from 1 species
AGGGAUCAUUACCGAGUUUACAACUCCCAAACCCAAUGUGAACGUUACCAAACUGUUGCCUCGGCGGGAUCUCUGCCCCGGGUGCGUCGCAGCCCCGGACCAAGGCGCCCGCCGGAGGACCAACCAAAACUCUUAUUGUAUACCCCCUCGCGGGUUUUUUACUAUCUGAGCCAUCUCGGCGCCCCUCGUGGGCGUUUCGAAAAUGAAUCAAAACUUUCAACAACGGAUCUCUUGGUUCUGGCAUCGAUGAAGAACGCAGCGAAAUGCGAUAAGUAAUGUGAAUUGCAGAAUUCAGUGAAUCAUCGAAUCUUUGAACGCACAUUGCGCCCGCCAGUAUUCUGCGGGCAUGCCUGUCCGAGCGUCAUUUCAACCCUCGAACCCCUCCGGGGGGUCGGCGUUGGGGAUCGGCCCUUUACGGGGCCGGCCCCGAAAUACAGUGGCGGUCUCGCCGCAGCCUCUCCUGCGCAGUAGUUUGCACACUCGCAUCGGGAGCGCGGCGCGUCCACAGCCGUUAAACACCCCAAACUUCUGAAAUGUUGACCUCGGAUCAGGUAGGAAUACCCGCUGAACUUAAGCAUAU